UACGAAGGGUGCAAGCGUUACUCGGAAUUACUGGGCGUAAAGCGUGCGUAGGUGGUUUGUUAAGUCUGUUGUGAAAGCCCCGGGCUCAACCUGGGAAUGGCAAUGGAUACUGGCAAGCUAGAGUGCGGUAGAGGGUAGUGGAAUUCCCGGUGUAGCGGUGAAAUGCGUAGAGAUGUGGAGGAACACCGAUGGCGAAGGCAGCCUCCUGGGCCAACACUGACGCUCAUGCACGAAAGCGUGGGGAGCAAACAGG
rnacentral:rRNA from 1 species